rnacentral:rRNA from 1 species
UACGGGGGGGAGCAAGCGUUGUCCGGAAUCAUUGGGCGUAAAGCGCGCGUAGGCGGCCCCGUAAGUCCGCUGUGAAAGUCAAAGGCUCAACCUUUGAAAGCCGGUGGAUACUGUGGGGCUAGAGUCCGGAAGAGGCGAGUGGAAUUCCUGGUGUGCGGUGGAAUGCGCAGAUAUCAGGAGGAACACCAAUAGCGAAGGCAGCUCGCUGGGACGGUACUGACGCUAAGGCGCGAAAGCGUGGGUAGCAAACAGG